CAAGGUAUCCCCGAGGACCGUGGUAGACCACCACGUCGAUAGGUCGGAGAUGUAAGCGCGGCAACGCGUUCAGUUGAUCGAUACUAAUGGUCCGAUAGGCUUGAUCCG
rnacentral:rRNA from 1 species